rnacentral:misc_RNA from 1 species
AAGUAAAAGUCGUAACAAGGUUUCGUAGUAACCUGCGGAAGAUCAUUAAUAAUUUUUUUGAAAUAAAAAAAAAUAAUAAUCAUCCUACCUUUGUGAAUUUGUUUGUUUGAAUAAUUUUUAAAUUAUUAUUGUCUAUCCAAGUUGGAAAGUGAAAAGCUGAAGACUUGGAGCGGCAUAAAUAAGUUUAAAGACUUUUUUUAAAUUAAACUUUUGUAUUCAUUUGUCUAAAUAAUUUUAUAAUAUAUAAAAACACUUUGACAAUGGAUCUCUUGGUUUCGCAACGAUGAAGAACGCAGCAAAAUGCGAUAAGUAAUGUGAAUUGCAGAAUACGUGAAUCAUCGAAUCUUCGAACGCAUAUUGCACUUUUUUAGUUUACUAAAAAGUAUGUCUGUUUGAGUAUCAGUAAAAUAUUCUCAUAAAAUUUUUUAAUUUUAUGGUUAUGAGUGUUUACAACGAUAAACAAGUUGUUUCACUUUAAAUUGAAUUUUUUUGAAGAAAUUCUUUAAUUCAAAUUAAAUUUGGAUAAAUUUUCCCGUAAAAAGGAAUAACUAUACAAGUUUAAUAAGAAUUUAGUGAUUCUUUUAUGAAAAGGAAAUUUAUUAAAUAACUUGAUCUCAAAUCAGAUAAGAGUACCCGCUGAACUUAAGCAUAUCAAUAAGCGGAGGAAAAGAAACUAACAAGGAUUCCCUAGUAACGGCGAGUGAAGCGGGAAGAGCUCAAAUUUGAAAUCUUAAAGGGUUUCCCUUUACGAAUUGUAGUUUAAAGAAGUGUCUUCUGUUGAGGUUUUGGUAAAGUUCUUUGGAAUAGGACAUCAUAGAGGGUGAGAAUCCCGUAUUUGACCUUUACUUUCAACUUUGUGAUACACUUUCAAAGAGUCGGAUUGUUGGGAAUGCAGUCCAAAUGGUGGUAAAUUUCAUCUAAAGCUAAAUAUGGCGAGAGACGAUAGCGAACAAGUACCGUGAGGAAGAUGAAAAGAACUUUGAAAAGAGAGUUAAACAGUACGUGAAAUUGUCAAAAGGAAGCGUUUGACACCAGUGUUGUUUUUCUGAAAAUCAAUUAAAGAACUGUUUAUGCUAAGUUGUUUAGACUUUAUCAGCUAACUGUUUAGUUUGAGCUUUUCUUAAUGCACUUUCAGUUAACAAGUCAACAUCAAUUUCUUUUGCUGUAAAAAGCUUGAGGAAGGUGCUUGAGAUUCGUCUUAAGUGUUUAUAGCCUCUUGCCUAUGCAGUCGGAGAAUGAGGUCUGCAGCGUGGAUCCUUCGGAGCUAA